GAUGAAGAACGUAGCGAAAUGCGAUAAGUAGUGUGAAUUGCAGAAUUCCGUGAAUCAUCGAAUCUUUGAACGCACAUUGCGCCUUCUGGUAUUCCGGAAGGCAUGCCUGUUCGAGAGUCAUUAACAACCGUUUCGAUCCCUUUCUUUCAGAAAUUACAAAGAGGAAAAGGGUUGGUUAUGGUGGAGGAGGGAAAGGGAGCGUUUAGCCUGGAAAAAAAGAGGCUGUGUUCCGCCUCCCCCCCAAAAUUGUAAAGGCGGUCGGGUGCGCCCACGCAUCGAGGUGUUGUAAAAGCUGCCACGGCACUUUUCACCUGUGCAGUGCGAGAUUGGCCAGCCGGUUUAAAAACCCCUCCAAACAAUCAAAGGUUGACCUCGGAUCAGGUAGGGAUACCCGCUGAACUUAAGCAUAUCAAUAAGCGGAGGA
rnacentral:misc_RNA from 1 species